rnacentral:lncRNA from 1 species
AUAAACAUCUCUUCGUGCACUUGAGUAUGCUAGAUAGAUUUAUCCUACAUUUGUGAAUAAUCUCCUAAACCUAUCCGAGUUUAUAGAUAAGAAGUCUGCUGUUCAUGCCUACAUAAAUGAAUGUCGAUACAGAACUACAGACUGAACCCCACCAGUUUUCCUCAUGGGAACUGAACUUCUGAAGUUAAUGGAGCUAUCCAUGUGAGCACUCCCUACCCUGGAAAUCAAGAACCUCCUAAUGAACAUGGUGCUAAAGCAAACAGAGAUUCCUGGGGACUGCACAGUUCAGCACCCUUGAAAGGAGAAAAGGGAGACAGAGGAGCUCCAGGACCACCAGGUAUCCAAAAUUCUAAACAGAAAUUAAGAAAAUUUUCUCUUCUGUGCUG